rnacentral:rRNA from 1 species
UACGAACUGUGCGAACGUUAUUCGGAAUCACUGGGCUUACAGGGUGCGUAGGCGGCGCGGUAAGUCGGGUGUGAAAUCUCGGAGCUUAACUCCGAAACUGCAUUCGAUACUGCCGUGCUUGAGGACUGGAGAGGAGACUGGAAUUUACGGUGUAGCGGUGAAAUGCGUAGAUAUCGUAAGGAAGACCAGUGGCGAAGGCGGGUCUCUGGACAGUUCCUGACGCUGAGGCACGAAGGCCAGGGGAGCAAACGGG